UACACAUGCAUACUGUGUACAUAAUACAUGUAUACAGAUACAUGUGUGCAUGCACGUGUACACACAUGCAUGCAUACACACAUGCAUUUGUAGAUAUAUGUGUAGGUGUGUACACACAACAUACACAUAUGCAUCCACACAUACACAUAUACAUAUGAGGUGGCAUGUUCAGCUUUCAAGAGGACCAUCAGGGACUUUGUCACCUUGACAACUUUAGCCUUGCCUUCUAGUCACCUUGCCGGAACACUUGUGCCCGUGUUUUUCUAGCACUGUCAUAAGAAUACUUUUACCUAUCAAGGCAACUGGGGGUUAGGAGAGCUUUUUGCACAGGAGGCUACUUGGCUUUGUUUGAAAACUGAUGAUACAUGAGGAUUGGGGUGGUGAAUCACUCACAUGUUUCUUCAUAUGAAAAAUGAGGACUGUGGGAUUCUCUGGCUGGAUCUCAGCACCUAGAAAUGGAUCUGGGCAAUAGGAACUGCUCAGUAUUAGCUACCGCUUUGGUUGCCUUCUCCUUGCGGAAAGCUGGCCUCUCACACUGAAUUUGUAUCAUAGGCACUCAUGAGGGUCUUGACUGUAUCAAUAUCUGAUGAGAGAUUUUAGUGCAGUUCUGUUAUCGUGGCUGAUUUGCUCAUUUGGUAGCUAGCAUCCAGCUUCUUGUGAACAUUAAAAUAAAAUAAAAUAGAUUAUGGAGGAAUAGAAUACAGAUACGUAGUAAGGUAUUAUUUUCCAGACAAAAUGGAUUUGGAUAAAAGAAUCUAAUUAAGAACUUGUGCAUGAUUCUUUUAAAAUUCUUUUGAAUCCAUUUUUUUUUUUUUUUGGCCUGUUUUCAAGUCUCCGAUUUUUGUCACCCUUCUCACACCAGGUCAGAGAGAUAGCUAAUGGUCAGAAGGAAUCUUCCAGCAAUGACCAUAGCGCUUUCUCCUGCCUGCAGAUGCCUCUUUUUAUUCAGCCUUUAUGGGAAGUAGCAGCACCAUCCAGUUCUCAGAGAGCAAGCUCUGGAGUAACUGAGCUAACCCCAGUUACCCCAGUGGAUUUACAGAUUGAGGUUACAACCCAGCAGGGUUCUCUUCCUGGAAAGAAUAGCCUUCCCUCUAAGGUUUCAAAUAGACCCUGGGUGAGGAAGGAGCCCUAAACAGCUUGAAAAAUUGAAUGCUCUUUGGGCAAAGCAGGAAGCCGUCCUAUGGAAGAGCAUCAUUUGAGCAUAAAUCAGGUUAUCAGGACAAACAGAGUGUUCAGGAGGUCAAGAUGGUUAAGCAGAGACCCUGACCAGAAUGUCCGUGGCGGAGAGAAACAAUCUUGUUGGGAAAAGGAUGACAAUAAUUGGGGACUUAGAAUAAAGGCUAAAAAUGAUUCAAGGAGAAUGCAAAAAGAAUCAGGCACAAAUCGUUUACUAUACUCUGUUAUGCAAAUCUCACCUUACUAUGUGUUUGUAUUCUAUUCCUCCACAAUCUUUAUUUUAUUUUAAUGUUCAAAGAGACUUGUAGGUGCCAAUUAAAUGAACAAAACAGCCAGAGACAACAGAACUGCCCUAAAAAAAGUCCCGCAUCAGCUCUUGAGAGCAGGUUCCUUAAAGGUGAACAAUAUUCCACAUACAAGGACUUUUUCAGCACCAUGCAUUAGAAAUGGAAGUGAAUGUUUAUUAUUUUUUGUAUAAGUUGGUUGAUAUGGCUUUUCAGCUUCCCUCAGUAUCAUUAUCCAAAUUUUGUAGAUGACACUAAAGCUCAGAGGAGUUAAACCAUUUUCCUUAAAUCACAUAGCUUUAAAUAGGAAAACCAGAUAUGAAAAGCAGAUUUUUUUUCUAAAUUAAAAAACCAAAAACAAAAACACGUGAGCUCUUGCUUUACCCUAGCACAUAGUCUUGCCAUCUGUUUUCUCCACACCAGGUGAUUCCUGUAACAUUCAUUCACAUAACAAAUACAAAUAAAUGAGUGGAUUCAUUCAUCAGAUAUUAAUUCAGAAUCCCUUUUGUGCCUUCCAGAAAUCUGGACCAUCUCACAACCCCCAGAGAGUCUCAGCUACAAGGAACAAGUGAUAAUGCCAUCCCACUUUUAUAAACACACACACACACACAUGCAAUACACACACAAUCAUUUAAUCAUUUUUAAUUAUUUAAUUAUUUUUUAAAAAUCAGUGACACUUUAGCUGGGCAGGUCUAGAUAGGUCUUCUUUGCUGGGACGUGUCUUUUUCUGUCCUGGAAUACCCUAAACUUCACAUUUUGGCAGCGUGAGUUUUCCCUUUGUGACUUUCUCCUUCUUCCCUUUUUUCCUCCUUCUUUGCAGAGAAUGAGUAGCCACUGCACCUUGCCCUGCGCCAUCAAUGAGAAGAUCUGCUCUUAGUAGAGCCCUGCUUUCCCGCUGAAGGCCCUGAAAUCACCUGUGUUCCAGGCCACCCACUAAGGAUAAACAAAGCUUCCCUGAUAUGGGGAAUUAGCUCAAGUGGUAGAGCGCUUGCUUAGCAUGCAAGAGGUAGUGGGAUCAAUGCCCACAUUCUCCAAGCUUUAUUAUUUAGGUACCCAAACCCGAGUCAGUGUCUGAGAGCAAGACACUGCUCUCGGUGUCUUUGGUUCAAGACAUAGGAGCAGCAACAAUACAGGACUGGUGACAGCUUCCUGCUGGCAUUCAGUAUAGUGUAGAUCUACUGUGUAAUUAAUUUUCUGUUUCUUCGAGGAGCUGUGAAACCAAAGGACAUAUAAAACUGCUCUUUUCUCCCUGUUUCUGCCUGCAGCUUGGUCCUAAAUGUGAGACAAUUGUGAAAAGUGGAGGACAGAGCCACCUGGUUAAAUACAGCCCCAGCUUUCUGGUGAGAGGACUGAAACCAAGAUGUGUCAAGUAACUAGAAUGUGCCUGGACAGAUACUGUAGAAAGCAAAACCAUAAAGUUGUUCAUGAGCUUGUGGACGCACCUGCCAGCUGUGAAUAAGUGGCUCUAAUCCCGAACAAUUUACCUAAAAAGAGCCUGAGAGCUGAACUGUGCAAUGGCCCACUUUCCAGUCCUCACUGACCACUGGGUUGCACACACUUUGGAGAUCUCUGAACAGCAGUGUCAAGGCUUUCAAAUAGAGUUAUCUUUGAAACGACAACACAUGAAAGUCUGGUUGGUACUUGGAGCUUAAAUACAAGGCAAUUGUGUGCCUGCAAAAACAAAAAUAGCAAUAUUAUCCUUAAGAUUUCAACAAGACACAGUGUCUCAUCACAUAAUCCAAAGAAGUCCAGGUUACAAGCCCCACAAUAUUCAGCAUUAUGAAAAAACAGGGAGAUCUUAAUUCACAUGGCAAAGAGAAUCCUCGAAUAACAAUAUUGAGAGGACACAGAUGUCAAAAUCAUCUGACACAUACAUUAAAGCAGAUAUUAUAACAAUGCUCCUAGAAUCGGGGAUAACAUUCGUGAAGUGAAUGGAAAGUUGGAAAGUCUCACCAAAUAUUUCGAAUACAUAAACACCAAUUUAAACUUAAGAAUUAAAAAAAUGUAUUAACCAAAACUCUUAGGGGAAAUAAAAAGCUUAAUUGGAGGAUCUCCAUAAUCGAAUGCAGAAGACUAAGGAAAAAGUCAAUGAACUUGAAAACAGAACACGAAUACCUACAUAAUCUGAACUAUAGAGAGAAAGGAGGAUUUUAUUGUCUCUGAACAGAGGCUCAGGCACAAAUAAAAAAUAACAAAUCCAACAUUCACAUUAUUGUAAUCUGGAAAGAAGAGGACAAAGUGGUCUUUGUGGGAUAAAACUUUGAACAAUUAAUAGCUGAAAAUGGUUCAAAUUUGUCAAAAGAUAUAAACCAGAUUUUUAAAGUUCAGUAAAUGUCAAUCAGGAUAAACCCAAAGAAACCCAUAGCAAGGCAUAUCAUAAUCAAACUGCUGAAAACUAAGAAAAUACAAAACAAUUUUGAAAGCAGCCAAAGGGAAAUGAAAGAGAAACUACCAAAUGAAUGAUUGUAGAUUUCGCAUCAGGAACCAUAGGGGCCAGAAAAAAUGUCAUAACAUUCGGUAAGUAACAAAAGAAAAAGACAUAUCGACCCAGAAUGCUAUGUGGAGCAAAAGUAUCUUCCAGACAUAAAGGCAAAUAAAUGCAUUCUCAGUGGAAGGUAAGUAAAUACAUUCUCAUUCUUAGGAAGACUGCUGGAAAAGAAUUAGCAAAGAUUUGAGAUAAGAAAAAUGAUACCAGAAGGAAACUUAGAACAUCAUCAGUGAAGGAACAAAAGCAGAAAUAGAACAUGUCUGGGUAGACAUAACAGACUAUUAUUCUUCCCUUGAGUUCCUUAAGGAGACUACGGAAAAGAAGAGUGACUAAGAUCUCUGAAGAAGGGAAAAGCUAGAUGACUGGGCCACAAGAGGAAAAAAAGCAGCAAGACAGUGGUUUGAAUACAAGGCAUGGUGAAGAGAUAUAAAUUACACAAGAAACUACAAGCUAUGUCAUAUGUCUACCUCUCUAGCUGACAAGGGAAGCAGGGGAAAUUUCUCUUCCAAUUGUCUGCUCUGAAGGUCAUCCAAACAUAAUUAUCAGGUGGGGUGGGUGAACUCUUUUAUUCUUUUAAUCAUCCAACAAAUAUUUCUCAAGCGCAUACCUUGUUAAGAGACUGUUUUGGGUACAGUAAUUCACAGUGAAUAAAACACAGAUAUUCUCACCUUUGUGAUACUACGUCAUAGUUGCAAGGAGUGGGGAGAAACAGACAGGAAGCAAAGAAGAAAAAUAAACAAGAAGUCAUGUGAUAAUAUCUACUGGGAGGGACUCAUUAGGCAGUAAAGGACUCGGCAGUGUGGAGGUGACACAUUCAGUUUUCAGUAGAAGAAUCAGGGAAGUUGUCACUUUGAAGCUAUCAUUUAGCUUCCCUUUCUUUCAAUCUUCUUUCUUUACAUGGGAAAUAAGGAUUGUGGGAUAUUUUUGGGUGGAUCACAGCACCUAGAGAUGGACCUGAUCAAUAAGAACUGCUCAGUAAGCAUUAGCUACUGCUUCGGUUGCCUUCCCCCUGUGGAGUGCUGGCCUCUUGGAUUGAGCUUGCAUCAUAGGUGUUCAGUAGGAGCUUGCUUAGUGGAUUUAUAGGUUGAGGUUAGAACCCACUGGAAUUCUCUUCCUGGAAAGAACAGGCUUCUCUUUAAGGUUUCAUACAGACCCUGGUUGAGGAAAGAGCCCUAAAUUGCUUGAAAAAUUGAAUGCUCUAUGGGCAAAGCAGGAAGCCCUCCUAUGGAAGGGCAUCAUUUGGGCAUAUAUCAGGGUCUCAGUAAAAACAUGAGUGCUCAGGAAGUCAAGAUGGUUAAGCAGAGAAUCUGACCAGAAUGUUCAUGGUGCGAAGAAAUAAUCUUGUUGGGUGUAGGAUUACAACAACUGGGAAAUUAGAAUACAGGCUAAAUGAGAUUCAAAAAUAAUACAACAAGAAUCAGGCACAAAUCCUUUACUACUACAUUCUUUUGUACAAAUCCAUUUUGCCUAGAAAAUCGUACCUUACUAUACAUCCCUAUUGUGUUUCUCCACCAUCUAUUUUACUUUUUAAACUUUAUUUCAUUUUUGUCAUCACAGAAGCUUGUUGCUACAAAAUAAAUGAGCAAAUCAGCCAAUGGCAACAAAGCUGCACUGAUCUCUCUCCUUAGACCUUCAGAACAUUUUCCUUAAAGGUGAACAAUACUCCACGUUCAAGGACUUUUUCAGCACUAUGUGCUAGAAACUAUGCUGACUGUUUAUUAAUUUUUAUGUAAGUUGGUCGAUAUAGUUUCUCAGCUUCCCCAAGUAUUAUUACCACAGUACUAUAGAUGACACUGAAGCUCAGAGCAGUUAAACCAUUUUCCUCAGAUCACAUAACUUUAAAGAGGGAAACCAGAUAUGGGAAGCAGAUUUCUUUCUAAAUGAAAAAAUCAUGAGCUCUUGCUUUCACUUAGCACAUAGUCUCAUCAUCUGUUUUCUUCACACCAGCUCACUCAUGUAACAUUCAUUCAUUUACCAAAUACAGAUAAAUGAGUGGAUUUAUUCUUGCUUUCAUCAGAUACUAAUUCAAAAUCGCUUCUGUGUCUGCUACACUGUGCUCAAGACUUGCCAGUGCCUUUGUCUCCUCUCCCUCAAAUCUCUCCACCCAAUGUCUUGACAAAUACUGUAGAUUCUUCCUGCAUAACCUCUCCAGAAUCUUUUCCUUCUGUUAUCCAUGCUACAGUGUUUAUGGAGGAUGUUUUCUUCACCUAUGAAGUGUGAUGGGGGCUGAAGCUGCAGCAAGACUCAUGCUGUUCACCUCAGGAGCUGACACAGUAAAUGUGGAUAAACCUCAAUCCUUUAAUAUCUUUAUGACUUCUUUCCCAGUUACCCCAGCGAAUUUACAGAUUGAGGUUAAAACCACAACAGGAUUAUCUUCCUGGAAAGAAUAGGCUUCCCUUUAAGGUUUCACAUAGAUACUGGGUGAGGAAGGAGCCCUAAAUUGCUUGAAAAAUUGAAUGCUCUUUGGGCAAAGCAGGAAGCCUUGCUAUGGAAGAGCAUCAUUUGAACAUAAAUCAGAGUCUCAGUACAAACAGAGUGCUCAGGACAUCAAGAUGGUUAACCAGAGAGCCUGGCCAGAAUAUCUGCGGUGGAGAGAAACGAUCUUGUUGGGAGAAGGAUGACAAUAAUUGGGGACUUAGAAUAAAGGCUAAAAAUGAUUCAAAGAGAAUGCAAAAAGAAUCAGGCACACAUCCUUUACUCUGUUGUGCAAAUCUCACCUUACUGUGUGUUUGUAUUCUAUUCCUCCACAAUCUUUAUUUUAUUUUAUUUUUAUGUUCACAGAGAUUUGUUGGUGCCAACUAAAUGAGCCCAACAGCCAGUGACAACAGAACUGCACUAAAAAAAGUCCCUCAUCAGCUCUUGAGAGCAGGUUCCUUAAAGGUGAACAAUAUUCCACAUACAAGGACUUUUUCAGCACCAUGCAUUAGAAAUGGAAGUGAAUGUUUAUUAUUUUUUGUAUAAGUUGGUUGAUACGGCUUUUCAGCUUCCCUCAGUAUCAUUAUCCAAAUUUUGUAGAUGACACUAAAGCUCAGAGGAGUUAAACCAUUUUCCUCAAAUCACAUAGCUUUAAAUAGGAAAACCAGAUAUGAAAAGCAGAUUUUUUUCUAAAUUAAAAAAAAAAAAAAACUUGAGCUCUUGCUUUACCCUAGCACAUAGUCUCACCAUCUGUUUUCUCCAUGCCAGGUCAUUCAUGUAACAUUCAUUCACAUAACAAAUACAAAUAAAUGAGUGGAUUCAUUCAUCAGCUAUUAAUUCAGAAUCUCUUUUGUGUCUACCACACUAGGCUCAAGACUUCCCAGUGUCUUUGUCUCCUCUCCCUCAAAUCUCUCCACCCAAUGUCUUGACAAAUACUGUAGAUCCUUCCUGCACAGCAUCACCAGAAUGUUUUUCUUUCUUUUCAUUCACCUCUGUCAUCAUCCAUGCUAUGGUGUUUAUGGAGGAUGUAUUCUGCAGCAGGAAGUGUGAUGGGCACUGACGCUGCAGAAAGACUCCUGUUGUCCACCUCGGGAGCUGACACGAUAAAUGCGGGUAAAUCUCAAUCCUUUAAUAUCUUUAUGACUUCUUUCUCUUUCUCUUCAAUUUCUAUUUUCUCAUGUUCAAGCUCUGACAUUCAAAACUAAACACCUUUCUCUAACAUGUUGCUUUAAUUAUUUAAGCAUUCUGCCUGGGAUUUUUUCAAUUACUCUUGGGAGUUUUCAUAAAACUCUACCAACAUAUCUCCAAGUGGCCAGGCUUUUCAAUCACUGCUUCCCUCCGUGUGUAUUUCACACACACACACACACACACACACACACAGCACUUAAAUUGAACAGGUUUAUUUCUUCACACAGGAAUUCCUACGAACAGCCCGGUUUUCUCCACCAUAUGUCCACUCCUUCUCUGCAUAGCUGAAUUUUGAUUCUUACACUCUAAUAUUUUACAUAUUCUUACACUCUGAUAUGAUCUUGUCUCUUAUUCUUUAUGGCUCUGCUCUGUAAUUUUGUUGUUGUUGUUCUGAGAUAUAGUUGGACAUGUAACUUGUACAUGACACACCUUAGCAAGGAGGCAACCUAUAUCUCAGAUGCAAGUGAAAGAAGCACUCCCCAGGGGUUUCCUAAGGUAGUGGUCAGCACGCUGGCUUCAUUCCUGAAAGGGCCUAGUUAUGAAAACAACAGGAGCUUUUUGCCUUCCAGAAAUCUGUACCAUCUCAAAAUCCCCAGAGAGUCUCAGCUACAAGGAACAGGUGAUAAUACUAUCUCACUUUUAUAAACACACACACACAACACACACACACAAAAUCAUUUAAUCAUUUUUAAUUAUUUAAUCAUUUUUUAAAAAUCAGUGACACUUUAGAUGGGCAGGUCUAGGCAGGGCCUCCUUUCCUGGAAUGUGCCUUUUUCUGUCCCGGAAUACCCUAAACUUGACAUUUUGGCAGUGUGAGUUUUCCCUUUUUGACUUUCUCCUUGUUCCCUUUCCUCUUCCUUCUUUGCAGAGAAUGAGUAGCCACUGCACCUUGCCCUGGGCCAUCAGUGAGAAGAUCUGCUCUUAGUAGAGCCCUGCUUUCCCGCUGAAGGCCCUGAAAUCCCCUGUGUUCCAGGCCACCCACUAAGGAUCAAUAAAGCUCCCCUGAUGUGGGGGAAUUAGCUCAAGUGGUAGAGCGCUUGCUUAGCAUGCAAGAGGUAGUGGGAUCGAUGCCCACAUUCUCCAAACUUUAUUAUUUAGACCCUGGGUCUCCAAACACUCAGGUCUCCAAACCCAAGUCAGAGAACAGGAUGCUGCUUUGGUUCAAGAUGUAGGAGCAGCAACAAUACAGGGCUGGUGACGGCUCCCUCCUGGCAUUCAGUAUAGUGUAGAUCUACCGUGUAAUUAAUUUUCUGCUUCUUUGAGGAGCUGUGAAACCAAGGGACAUAAACAAUUGCUCUUUUCUCCCUGUUUCUGCCUGUAGCUUGAAUGUGAGGCAACUGUGAAAAGUGCAGGGCAGAGCCACCUGGGUAAAUACAGCCCUGGCUUUCUGGUGAGAGGACUGAAACCAGGAUGUGUCAAGUAACUAGAAUGUGCCUGGACAGAUACUGUAGAAAGCAAACCCAUAAAGUUGUUCAUGAGCUUGUGGACGCACCUGCCAGCUGUGAAUAAGUGGGUCUAAUCCCAAACAACUUACCUAAAAAGAGCCUGAGGACUGAACUAAACAAUGGUCCACUUUCCAGUCCUCACUGACCACUGGUUGCACACACUCCAGAGAUCUCUCAUCCGCAGUGUCAAGGCUUUCAAAUAGAGUUAUCUGUGAAACAACAACACAUGGAAGUCUGGUUGGUACUUGGAGCUUAAAUACAAGGCAAUUGUGUGCCUGCAAAAACAAAAAGAGCAAUAUUAUCCUUAAGAUUUCAACAAGACACAGUGUCUCAUCACAUAAUCCAAAGAAGUCCAGGUUACAAGCCCCAAAAUAUUCAGCAUUAUGAAAAACCAGGGAGAUCUUAAUUCACAUGGCAAAGAGAAUCCUUGCAUAACAAUAUUGAGAGGACACAUAUGUCAAAAUCAUCUGACACAUACAUUAAAGCAGUUAUUAUAACAAUGCUCCUAGAAUUACGGGAUAGCAUUCAUGAAGUGAAUGGAAAGUUGGAAAGUCUCACCAAAUAUUUGGAAUAUGUAAACACCAAUUUAAACUUAAGAAUUAAAGUAUUAACCAAAACUAUUAGGGGAAAUAAAAAGCUUAAUUGGAUGAUCUCAAUAGCAGUAUGCAGAAGACUAAGGAAAAAGUCAAUGAACUUGAAAACGGAACAAGAAUACCUACAGAAUCUGACCUAUAGAAAGAAAGGAGGAUUUUAUUGUCCCUGAACAGAGGCUCAGGGACAAAUAAAAAAUAACAAAUCUAACAUUCACAUUAUUGUAAUCUGGAAACAUUCACAUUAUUGUAAGAGGACAAAGAGGUCUUUGUGGGAUAAAACUGUGAAGAAUUAAUGGCUGAAAAUGUAUCAAAUUUCUCAAAAGAUAUAAACCAGAUUUUUAAAGUUCAGUAAAUGUCAAGCAGGAUAAACCAAAAGAAACCCAUUGCAAGACAUAUCAUAAUCAAACUGCGGAAAAUUAAGAAAACACAAAACAAUUUUGAAAGCAGCCAAAGGGAAAUGAAAGAUAAAAUACCAAAUGAAUGAUUGUAGAUUUCUCAUCGGGAACCCAGGAGCCAGAAAAAAAUGUCAUAACAUUCAGUAAAUACCAAAGGAAAAAUACAUUAUCAACCCAGAAUGGUAUGUGGAGCAAAAGUAUCUUCCAGACAUAAAGGCAAAUAAAUGCAUUCUCAUUGGAAGGUAAAUAAAUACAUUCUCAGUCCUAGCAAAACUGCUGGAAAAGAAUUAGCAAAGGUUUGAGAUAAGAAAAGUGAUACCAGAAGGAAACUUAGAACAUCAUCAAUGAAGGAACAAAAGCAGAAAUAGAAAAUGUCUGGGUAGACAUAACAGACUAUUAUUCUUCUCUUGAGUUCCUUAAGGUAUGUUUGAUGGUUGAAAGCAAAAAUUGUAACUUUAUCUGAUGCAGUUGUCAUUGUAUCUAGAUGUACUACAUACAUAAGAUAAAAGGGUAAAUGUAAUGGGACUAACUCUUGAUGAAGUUUCUAUAUUCAACUUGAAUGGUAAAAUAUUGAUUCUUAGUAUACUGUGAAAAGUUAUAUAUGUAUAUGGUAAUCCCUAGACCACUUAACAACCAGAUUGAAAUAAACCAAAACAAGAUAGACAGAGGAACAUAGAAGAAUUAAAACAAAGGGAAAAAAGGUUAAUAAAUUAUUAAAUAGUAGAUCUAUCUAAAAACUUAUCUAUAAUAACAUUAUAUGUAAAUUAUCUAAAUGCAUUAAGUAAAAACUAGAGAUCAUCAGAAUGUGUUAAAAAUAAAUAUGCUGACUAAAGAAAGCCACCUGCAAUACACUUAUAAAUAAGAAUAAAAGUUAUAGAGCAGAUUGAAAGAAAAGAGUGGGAAAAGAUACCUCAUGCAAGCAUUAAUCAAAGACAGCUGUGGUGUAUAUAUAUAAAAUCAGACAAAGUAGAUUUGAAAGCAGAGAAACUUUUCAGGAAUAAUGAGGCCUCCUAAAUAAUUAUGAUUGUCAAUUUUUCAGGAGAAUAUUGUCCCAAAUGUAUAUGAGGACACAGAGCUUCAAAACUCAUAAACAAAAUUGGAUACGCCAAGUAAAAAUAGAAAAAUCCAGUUAUAGUUGCAGUCAUUAACACUCCUCUCUCAGUAAUUGGAAGAUUUAGUAGAACACAAAUCAACAGACAUACUGGAGAAUUGAACCAUGCCAUCCAGUAAUGGACCUAUCAAUUUCAUAAUGCAAAAUAAAAAUUCAGGUAGAAAGCAAAGACAAAAAUUAAAAGAAAAGCAAGAUCAUGUUAUAAUGAGAAAAUUAAGAGUAGUCCAGCGUAUAGAAGGGUGCUAUUAUUGAAAGAGUUUGAAAUAGUGACUUAGUUAUUUUGAAACAUUUUUGAAGACGUUAUUUAGCUGGAAAUGACAGAAAGACUGAAAAUGGUGAAUGUGGAGGUGGAUCUUCCCUUGUCCAUAUUUAUCUUGUCUUCGUUUGAGGUCUGGGGUGUCUAUACUUCCUCUGAAUUACCUGAUCUUACUACAGUGUCUGGCACAGAGCAUCUCCCCAGUGAAUAUGUACUAAAUGAGUAGAAAGUAAUUGAUAGAUUCAAAAGAGUUGUGCAAGAAUAAUGUUCAUUAUUUGACUAAUCACUGAAUGUGGUGUUUCAAGGAAGACAAUGAAUCAAAGUUGACUUGAAAGGUAAGCCCAGGGCCAGACGUGGUGGCUCAUUUCUGUAAUCCCAGCACUUUGGGAGGCCGAGAUCAGUGGAUCCCUUGACACCAGGAGUUUGAGACCAGCCUAGGCAACACAGUGAAAACCUGUCUCUACAACAAAUACAAAAAUUAGCCGGGUGUGGUGGUAUGCAUCUGUAGUUCCAGCUACUCAGGAGGCUGAGGUGGGAGGAUCGCUUGAACUCAGGAGGUGGAGGUUGCAGUGAACAGAGAACGCACCGGUACCUGGACAACAAAGUGAGACCCUGUCAUAAAAUAAAAUAGUUAAACCCAGGCCAGGAGGGGUGGCUCAUGCCUGUAAUCCCAGCACUUUGGAAGGCCAAGGUAGGCUGAUCACGUGACGUCAGGAGGUUGAGACCAGCCUGGCCAACAUGGUGAAACCCCGUCUCUACUAAAAAUACAAAAAUUAACCAAGCGUGGUGGCAGGCACCUGUAGUCCCAGCUACUCUGGAGGCUGAGACAGGAGAAUUACUAGAACCCGGGAGGCAGAGGUUGCAGUGAGCCAAGAUCUUACCAUUGCACUGCAGCCUGGGCGACAGAGUGACACUCUGUCGAAAAAAAAAAAAAAAAAAGUUAAGCCCAAAAAGUAAGUAAGGAAGAGGUUUGGAAUUAGAUAUUUGUUGUAUGAAUGAGUGAGCUAAAGUGCAAAAGAACGGGCAGAAUAACUGAGCUGGUACAGAGGGAAAAAAUCACAUUUAAAAUCUAAAAAUAUCUGCUUCUUAGUUCAGGCUUUCCCACUUAGCAGCUUUGGCACCUUAGGAACACUUAACUUAUCUGAGCCUCUAUUACUUCUAAAAAGUGCAUAAAGUGCAGACUAAGACAGUUUUUUUGGCAAAAUUCAGUCAGACUACAUCAAGUAAACUCCCUAAGUCUCCUAGUAUAAUUCAUGGCACAAAAAAUUGGGGAAAAAACAGGGAGGAUAUGAUUAUAAGUUCAGUUUAUGUUUUUUGUUGAGUGAAUGUCUCCAGUCAUAGAGAUGCAAGUGUAGAUACACAGUAAGAGUAGUAUGAAUGGGAGACACCUUGGAAGGCUAUUUCUUCCUUCCUUCAUUCAGUUGGUCACUCAGUGAACUAUCAUGAAUUGAGCACCGCCUCUGUUUCUUAUCAACAAAGGAGACUGCGGAAAAGAAGAGUGACUAAGAUCUCUGAAGAAGGGAAAAGCUAGAUGACUGGGCCACAAGAGGAAAAAAAGCAGCAAGACAGUUACAAUUGUUUCUGGUCCCACUUUUAUAAACACACACACACACACACACACACACACACACACACACACACACACACAAAAUCAUUUAAUCAUUUUUAAGUAUUUAAUCAUUUUUUAAAAAUCUGUGAUGCUUUACCUGGGCAUGUCUAGGCAGGUCCUCCUUUGCUAGGACGUGCCCUUUUCUGUCCCGGAAUACUCUAAACUUGGCAUUUUGGCAGCGUGAAGUUUUCCCGUUGUGACUUUCUCCUUGUUCCCUUUUCUCCUCCUUCUUUGCAGACAAUGAGUAGCCACUGCUGUUUGCCCUGGCCCAUCAAUGAGAAGAUCUGCUCUUAGAGCCCUGCUUUCCUGCUGAAGGCCCUGAAAUCACCUGUGUUCCAGGCCACCUGCUAACAAUAAAUAAUGCUGCCCUGAUGUGGGGAAUUAGCUCAAGUGGUAGAGCGCUUGCUUAGCACGCAAGAGGUAGUGGGAUCGAUGCCCACAUUCUCCAAGCUUUAUUAUUUAGACAUCGUGUCUCCAAACACUCAGGUCUCCAAACCCAAGUUAGUGUCUGAGAACAGGAUGCUGCUUUGGUUCAAGACGUAGGAGCAGCAAUAAUAGAGGGCUGGUGAUGGCUCCCUCUUGGCAUUCAGUAUAGUGUAGAUCUACCAUGUAAUUAAUUCUCUGUUUCUUUGAGGAGCUGUGAAACCAAGGGACAUAUACAACUGCUCUUUUCUCCCUGUUUCUACCUGCAGCUUUGUCCUAAAUGUGAGACAAUUAUGAAAAGUGCAGCGCAGAGCCACUUGGGUAAAUACAGCCCCGGCUUUCUGCUCAGGGGACAGAGUUUGAGGCACUGCAGAGGAACCGGCCAAAGUAUGAGACCCAUAUAUUGAGAGUAACAGAGUGUAAAGUUCAAAAAAAUCAAAAUAUUUAAAGAUUUAUCAUGGGUCUUGAUGACAUGAUGGAAUCUCUCUACUCUCUGGACUUAUUAUGUGUGGUAAUAAAUUUACUUUUUAAAAGCCA